rnacentral:rRNA from 1 species
GACGAACGCUGGCGGCGUGCUUAACACAUGCAAGUCGAGCGGUAAGGCCCUUUCGGGGGUACACGAGCGGCGAACGGGUGAGUAACACGUGGGUGACCUGCCCUCAGCUCUGGGAUAAGCCUGGGAAACCGGGUCUAAUACUGGAUAUGACUCCAUGACGCAUGUUGUGGGGUGGAAAGCCUUGUGCGGCUGAGGAUGGGCCCGCGGCCUAUCAGCUUGUUGGUGGGGUGANGGCCUACCAAGGCGACGACGGGUAGCCGGCCUGAGAGGGCGACGGCCACACUGGGACUGAGACACGGCCCAGACUCCUACGGGAGGCAGCAGUGGGGAAUAUUGGGCAAUGGGCGCAAGCCUGACCCAGCGACG